UACAGAGGUCCCAAGCGUUGUUCGGAUUCACUGGGCGUAAAGGGUGCGUAGGCGGUUGGGUAAGUCUGUCGUGAAAUCUCCGAGCCUAACUCGGAAACUGCGUCGGAUACUAUUCAACUCGAGGAAUGGAGGGGAGACUGGAAUUCUCGGUGUAGCAGUGAAAUGCGUAGAGAUCAUGAGGAAGACCAGUGGCGAAGGCGGGUCUCUGGACAGUUCCUGACACUGAGGCACGAAGGCCAGGGGAGCAAACGGG
rnacentral:rRNA from 1 species